UGGGGAAUAUUGGACAAUGGGCGCAAGCCUGAUCCAGCAAUGCCGCGUGUGUGAAGAAGGCCUUCGGGUUGUAAAGCACUUUUAUCAGGAGCGAAACGCUGUCGGCUAAUACCCGGCGGAACUGACGGUACCUGAGGAAUAAGCACCGGCUAACUUCGUGCCAGCAGCCGCGGUAAUACGAAGGGUGCAAGCGUUAAUCGGAAUUACUGGGCGUAAAGCGUGCGUAGGCGGUUUCUUAAGUCUGCUGUGAAAUCCCCGGGCUCAGCCUGGGAAUGGCAGUGGAUACUGGGAGGCUAGAGUGUGUCAGAGGGUGGUGGAAUUCCCGGUGUAGCGGUGAAAUGCGUAGAGAUCGGGAGGAACAUCAGUGGCGAAGGCGGCCACCUGGGACAACACUGACGCUGAGGCACGAAAGCGUGGGGAGCAAACAGGAUUAGAUACCCUGGUAGUCCACGCCCUAAAGCGAUGCGAACUGGAUGUUGGUCUCAACUCGGAGAUCAGUGUCGAAGCUAACGCGUUAAGUUCGCCGCCUGGGGAGUACGGUCGCAAGACUGAAACUCAAAUGAAUUGACGGGGUCAUAGCUGUUUCCUG
rnacentral:rRNA from 1 species